UAUGAACCUAACUCCAUUCCAAUCGUUUCCUUGAUUGUCAUCUUUCUCGUUUUUAAUUUAGCUUUAGUUUUUGCUUUUCAAUCUGCUCAGGCUGUGGCCUUAUGAGCUGUAAUAAUCAGUAGAACUUUGCUAGAUGUUUUUAGUUUUCCCUUUGGACGCGAUGUAGGUGCUUUUGUUCUCUCUAUCUCUGGUUUCGUUAAAGCAAUGGAACCGCGGGGGAGGGGGGGCUUUGGCCCUCCUAGUAGUCUAAAAAAACGAAAAAUGGCAGGUAUUCUUGCUAGAUUAAAGUUGCACUUGAACUUGUAAAAUCAUUGUUUUCAGCCACUUGAUUGAAAUAUCAUUUAUAUAGGUUGUAAAUUUGAAAGAAGCAAGGGAUUUCUCCAGCAGCACAGGAUUCAUUUAUGCUUUCAUCGUUUGAUACUCUCCUAGUUUAUCCGAGCAAAUAAAUGUCUUCUUGUGCUGUUACCUAAUGUACUAGGACAUAAUCAAUGAAGAAUAGUAUACACAGUUUCUGAUCUCCCAUAUUUUUUGUUUAAAUUCACAGAAAUUGGAAUGGCAGUUACUUUCAGUUGAUCUUUUACCCAACCCUGACUUGGGGCUGUUGUUACUACUGCCGCUGGUCUUGGUGAGGCUCAUAACACAUAUUCAACAUUCAUUUCGGCUUUUGGCAACAGCCAAACAAAUGACUCAUUUCAGUCAACGGCAUGGGAUAUCAAUGUUCUCGUGGACUCUAUCAAUGAAAUUGCCACACGAACAAAUUGGACAAGUGUAAUGGAAAACCUGGACCACGAGGGUUUCAGUAUCCCUGAUGAAGGGGCUUUCCGUCUAUUGAUGUCUAUAUAUUCUCGGGCUUGCAAGGAUCCAUUUCCGCUUCAUGCCAUCUGUGGGUCACUGUGGAAGAAUUUAGAAGGGCAAUUAUCAUUCUUGAAACAUUUAAACAUUCUUCUAGGAAGCUGGUAUUUCCAGACUUGGCUAAUCAUAUCCAAGGCAAUCAGGCUUGGUACUGCCUAGACCUUUUGGAGGUGUUAUGCCAGCUUGCUGACCUUGGCUAUGCAACAUUAGUGCGACCGCUGCUGGACUACCCACUCAGUCAUUGUCCAAACGUCUUACUUCUUGGCGUUAGCCAAAUCAAUACUGCAUACAAUCUCCUCCAUUAUGAAGUAUUGUCAUGUGUAUUCCCUGCUUUAUUGAAGGACAGUAAAAAUAGCAGUCUAAUGAACUAUCUCUGGCAUCUCAACCCUUCCCUUACUCUCCGAGGAUUUGUUGAUGCUCAUUCUGAUAUAAUUUGUCUUUUGAGAACUGUUGAUAUAUGUCAAGACCUAAAGGUAACACAAUUACGCUUAUCUGAUGCAAUGACUUUUGAGUUGCA